rnacentral:rRNA from 1 species
GGAGUUUGAUCCUAGCUCAGAAUGAACGCGUGGAAAAUACAUUACACAUGCAAAUUAUAUGUAUUAUAAAAUACAUAGUGUACCGGUGAGUAAUAAAAAGGGUUACCUUUAGAUUAAAUAUAAUAUAUAAAAUUUAAUAUACACAUUAGUGUUUUUAAAAAAUGUACUUUAUUGUCUAAAUAUAAACUUUUAUCUAAUUAGCUAUUUAAUAAAUUAUUAUAUUAAGGCGAGAAUUAGUAGUUGGCCUGAGAGGGUGACCAAUCACAUUGAGAUUGAAAAUGCUCAAACUUCGUAGGAAGGCAGCAGUGGGGAAUAUUUUGCAAUGAGCGCAAGCUUGACAGAGUCAUUUUCCGUGAAGGAUGACAGUAAUUUAAAUUAUUGUAAACUUCAGUUAUUUUUAUAAGCUAGAGAUUUAAAAAUAAAAGCAUCGGCAAAUCUUCGUGCCAGCAGCCGCGGUAAUACGAGAGAUGCUAGCGUUAUUCAGAAUUAUUGGGCGUAAAGUGUGUGUAGGCGGUUUAUUGUAUUUUAUUAGAAAAAUUAUAAUUAAAUAUAAUUAUAUUUAAAAGAUUAAUAAACUAAGAAAUUAUUAAAAAUAAAACAAACUUUAUGGGAAGUAGUUUAAUAUGUUGAUCCAUAAAGGAAGAUUAAUGUGAAAACUUUUUAUUAGAAUAAUAUUGACGCUGAGACACGAAAGCUAAGGUAUCAAAUGAGAUUAGAGACCUCAGUUAGUCUUAGCCGUAAAUGAUGAAAACCUAAAAGUAUAAUUAUUAAAAUACUAUUUUUUAAGCUAACGCUAAAAGUUUUCCGCCUGGGUAGUACGUUCGAAAGAAUGAAACUUAAAGGAAUUGACGGGGGUCCUUACAAGCGGUGGGGCAUGUGGUUUAAUUCGAUGUAACACGAAAAACCUUACCAAAACUAGACUAAUCAGGUAGUGCAUGGCUGUCGUCAGUUUGUACCGUGAGGCGCUGGAUUUAGUUCCAUAACAAACGUUACCCUUUUAUAAUAUUAAUAUAUAGUAUAUACUGCUUAAUUAUUAUAAUAUAAUUUAGAGGAAGGCGAGGAGGACGUCAAGUCAUCAUGCUCUAUAUGUUUUGGGCUACCCACAUGCCACAUUGAGAAAUAUAAUAAAUUAUUAAUCAUAUUUGUAUUGUAAAAUACAAAUAAUUUUAAAAAUUUUUCAUAGUACAGCAUUUAGAUUGAAAUUUCUAAAUAAAGAAGGAAUCGCUAGUAAUCAUUGGUCAGCUAUACAAUGGUGAAUAUUCUAAAGGAUCUUGUACACACCGCCCGUCACAUCAGGGAAAUUUAAUAUUAUAAAAAUAAAUUUACAUUAAUAUAUAAUAUUAAGUAACUAGGGUGAAGUCGUAACAAGGUAGCCGUACUGGAAGGUGUGGCUA